rnacentral:lncRNA from 1 species
GCCAAAAAAAAAAAAAAGAAAGAAAUCUCUCUGCUGAAGCCUGACAAAAGUCAAAGUAGUGGGUUUGAGGAACAGGCAGAUAAAUAGAAUCUAAACAAGUCCAAGUGCCACGGAGGUGGGGAAAGUCCUGCUUGAAUGCAACUGGAUGAGGUAACACUGUCUAGUCUUCCGGGCUAUAUUUUAUAGAUGAAAGUUAUCUAGUGAACUGAGAUUCUUCAGAUAGCCCACUUGGGCCACGAUCAGCUGGAAGUGACUUUCUACCCUGACCUCCCCAUAUCAAAUAACUCUCCCGAUGAACUUAGAAAUAGGAUCAGAGAUUUAAACUAGAGUUGGGAAGCCAGUCAAAAAGGAGUUGGAGAGUGGCAGUGAUGAACGGUUUUCUCGGUUUUAUGGGAACCGUUACUGGUAUCCAUUUGGACCCUACCAACCCUACCCACCCUACCCACCUUUUGGCUACCCCAGAUAUCCAUGGCUGUGGUAUUACUUUGUCUCAGCACCGCCUCCAGCAUCAGCUGCUCUUUCUAAAAAAAAUAAGUCAAACAGAGGACCAUGAGGUCAUGCUCAAAUUCAACCUUGACUUCAUGUUCUCUAAAAGCUGCCUGCUCGAAGAAGGCAUACUGAGGCCAAAGAGGAAACCUUUGUUGACUCAUAUCUUUGACUCAAGGCAUUUAACUAUGUUCAGUGUGAUACCUCUUCUAUAAUAAACAUUAAUGGCAAAUGUUUCAAGAUCUGCGAUUUCAUUGGUUUGGGUUAUCUCUCAAUGCAUAUCAUGACCCCUCUACACUUUAAAAGAUAGUAUUCAUCAGUUACUGUGACUGGAUUUGUGUGGAU